AGAGGAGGACAUUAGUUGGCCCAAAACAAAUUAUGAAGACGCAGAAAACAAACACGAUCAGAAACAAUGCAUGUGAUUUUUUUGGAAGAGUUCUGAAAUUUGGAUGUUUUGAGACUGUAAAUGAUUCCAAAAUAAGAGGUGGUUGUAAUAAAGAAAGGCAGUAACAUUAAAAUCAAACAAAAAGAAGAAAAAUAAUAACUAUA